GUGUGUGUGUGUGUGUGCACGUGCACAUGCAUGUGAUUAUUCAUAGAUACAUGAAAGUUAGGGAGGGGUUGAAAAGUCCUUGAUACCAGAAAUGGAACCUGGGGCAGGCUCGGGUAAAGCUAACUGCCCCCUCUUCCCACUGAGGCCCUGUUCUGAAGGUAUGGGAAGAGGGAGUUGUGUAUAGAAAGCUAAUUUUCUGACCUGCCCACUCAGGGUAAUGAAAUGUUGCAUGUCAUUUAGUUGUGUCCGGUUGGAUCUGGUGUCU
rnacentral:lncRNA from 10 species